GAUGAACGCUGGCGGCGUGCCUAAUACAUGCAAGUCGAGCGAGCAGACGAGGAGCUUGCUCCUUUCACGUUAGCGGCGGACGGGUGAGUAACACGUGGGUAACCUACCUAUAUGACUGGGAUAAUUUCGGGAAACCGGAGCUAAUCCCGGAUAAUAUUCUGAACCGCAUGGUUGGAUAGUGAAUGAUGGCUGUGCUAUCACUUAUAGAUGGACUUGCGCCGUAUUAGCUAGUUGGUAAGGUAACGGCUUACCAAGGCAACGAUACGUAGCCGACCUGAGAGGCUGGUCGCCCACACGAGAACUGAGACGCCGUCAAGACUCCUGAGGGAGGCAGCAGAAGGGUAUCUUACGCAACGGUCGAGAGCAUGACAGAGCAACGGGGAGUGAGUGAUGACGGCCUUCGGAGCGUAAAACUCUGUUAUGAGGGGAGAACAACCGUGUAAGGAAACGUGCAGUUCGUGACGGUACCUGAUCAGAAAGCCACGGCUAACUACGUG
rnacentral:rRNA from 1 species